rnacentral:lncRNA from 1 species
UGUCAAUUUAAUUUAACAAGCCCUCAUCACGAGCAGAGCAUGAGCAGGGGCCACUGUCCUGGGUGUUUGGGGAGAAACAGAAGAAGGGAGGGAGGAGCAGCCCUCAGGUUAAAAGCAAUGAUUUGUUCCAACCAAUAUUUGAGUACCCACCCUGUGCCUGGUGUGCUGCUGGGUGCAGUAAUUCAGCAGCCAACAAAGCAAGCCCAUGCACUUGUGCCCUCCCAUUCCAGUGGGGAAGACAAUGUUUAAACAAAUUUACAACAUCGGUCCUAAGUAUUUUGGAGGAAAGCAGCUAAAUAAAAGGAUGAAAGAGGGAUGGGAACGAGGGAUGUUUAGAUGGCAUAGUCAGGGAAGGCCUCUCUUCGGAGAUCACAUUUGAGCAGACUCUAGAAUGAAAGGAUAGGGUAAGCCAUGCAAACCCCUGGGCAAAGAGGUCUCCAAGUAGAGAAAUGAAGCCCUUGAGGCAGCAGUGUCCUCAGUAGGUUCCAGAAAUAGCAAGGUCGCUGGUACAGAGUCAGGGACUGGGAGCGCAAUAGAAGACAUCAGAAAGUAGCCAGGGACCAGGAUAUUUAGGGCUUAGGUGAGGACUUGGAAUUUCAUUAGAGUGAAUGGGAAGCCAUUGAAGGCUUUGGAGCAGAGGAGUCACAGGGGCUUAUUUACAUUUUUAAAAGACCAUUCUGGAAAACAGUCUUUGUACUCAGGCAGGGACAAGUGGAAAAAAGGGGCAAAAUAAGAUUGUUACCCCAGUAUUCCAGGGGAGGAGACGGUGGCUCAGACUAAGGUAGUAGAGUAUAGGUGGGACGAAAUGGGCAGAUUCAAGGUACAUUUUGAAGUUAGAACAGUUUUCUGAGAGACUUCAUGCAGAGUUGUUGGAGAGAAAGGAGAAAAGUAACUAAAAGGGUAAGUGCCUGAGUAAAAGAACAGCAUUGCAGUUUUCUAAGGUGAAGACAAUUGGUAGAACAAAAGCUGAGAAUGGUCAUGCCUGUAAUCCCAGCACUUUGGGAAGCCAAGGUGGGAGGAUCACUGGAGCCCAAGACUUCGAGACCGACCAGCCUGGGCAAUGUAGUGAGACCCCAUCUCUACAAACAAUUAAAAAUUAGCUGGGCAUGAUGGUGCACGCCAGUAGUGCCAGAUACCCAGGAGACUAAGGCAGAAGGAUCGCUUGAGCCCAGGAGUUGGAAGCUGCAGUGAGCUGUGAUCUUGCCACUGCACUCCAGCCUGGUCAACAGAGUUGAGACCCUGACUGUUAAGAAAAUAGCACUUUGGGAGGCCGAGGCGGGCAGAUCACCUGAGGUCAGGAGUUUGAGGCCAGCCUGGCCAACAUGGUGAAACCCCGUCUCUACUAAAAAUACAAAAAUUAGCGGGGCGUGGUGGCAGGCGCCUGUAAUCCCAGCUAUUUGGGAGGCUGAGACAGGAGAACCGCUUGGACCCAGGAGGCAGAGGUUGCAGUGAUCUGAGAUCACGCCACUGCACUCCAGCCUGAGCAACAGAGAGCGAAACUGUCUCAAAAUAAUAAUAAUAAUUUGAUUUGAGUCAUGUUCACUUUCAGAUGCCAACACAUGCACCUAAGUGUAUAGUCAACAAAACAGUUGGCUGGACUAGCGGGAUUCAAGGGGAGUGGUUGGAGCUGGAGACACACAUUUGGGAGUUGGCGGCAUGAAGAUAGCAGAUCGAGCCUCAGGCAGGGAAGGAGACCUGGAGCGUGUGUGUGGCUGACAGGAACCAAGGACUGAUCUUGGAGCUUGGUGCGCUCCAACACAUGGAGGUCAGGAAGAGAGAGGAGUCCAGCCAGGAGGACAAGCAGUGGCCGUGGAGGGAGAGUGUGGAAGACUGAGGAAGUGGUUGCUUUGUCCAGGGCAGCCAAUAGGUUACAGGAAGGACUGAGCAGGGACCACAGGUUUUGUUAACUGAAAGGUGUAAGAAGUCCGAGGGAGCCAGGGGAUACCCUAAUUUUUCCCAAUUUCAGAACCAAUUAAGAAACAAAAAAUAAGACGAUGGGAGAUGGGAGACCAAAAUACCACCCUUAUUACUGAUAAAACUGCUGUUAGAAAAUGUGGUUACAUCUGGGAACACUGGAUUUCUUUUCUUUUCUUUUUUUUUUGUGAUGGCAUCUCGCUCUGUCGCCCAGGCUGGAGUGCAGUGGUGUCAUCUUGGCUCACUGCAAGCUCCGCCUCCCAGAUUCACACCAUUCUCCUGCCUCAGCCUCCCCAGUAGCUGGGACUACAGGCACCCGCCACCGCGCCCGGCUAAUUUUUUUUUUUGUAUUUUUAGUAGAGACGGGGCUUCACCAUGUUAGCCAGGAUGGUCUCGAUCUCCUGACCUCAUGGUCUGCCCGCCUCAGCCUCCCAAAGUGCUGGAAUUACAGGCGUGAGCCACCGCGCCCGGCCUGGAUUUAUUUUGUAAGGCUGAACCUCAGAAUGAGGCGGUUUAGAGCAGUGCUUCUUGAACUUUAUUGUGCACCAGAAUCCCCUGGGGAUCGUACUAAAAUGCAGGUUCUGAUUGAGUAGGGCUUGGGUGGAGCCUGAGAUUCUGCUUUUCUAAUAAGCUUCCAAGUGAUGUCAGUAUUGCCAUUGUGGGGAUCACUCUUUGAGUAGCAGAAGUUAAGAGGAACGCAGCGCAUAUGUCCCCUGAAGGCAGCCGAGGUUCUGAGAGAGAGGGAGGAAGUGGCCAGGCAGUCUAUGCCUAACCGCUCCUUCCAGACUCACAGGAACAUUCUAGUAAUGGGGCUCACUUCUCAUGGAGGGAGGCAUCAGGAGUGCUUCUACACUAGCAAGGUCAUUGGUGAGGGGAGCAUUUGUUUGAGUGGUGCCUAAUUGGAGUAGGUUCUAGGGAAAGUGGGAGGAGAGGAGGGUGAAACAGUACAAACAAUUCUUUCAUAGAUUUUUCUGUAAAAGGGAAAAGACAAAUGGAGUAACUGGAAGGGGAUAUGGGGUAAAGGAGAGGCUUUUGUUUUAAAGAAGGGAAAUAGCAUAGCUUGUGCAUGUACUAAUUGGAAAAAAUGAACUGGGAGGGAAAACCUGGCAGUGGGGAAGACAGUGAGGUGGAGAGAGUUGUGGAGUGGGCCUGAGGGACUGGGGGCCAGUGCACAGCAGAGAGGUAGGUCCUAGAUCCAACUGAGCACCCUGGCUUAUAUCCACAGUGCUGCCGACAGCUCAGUGAUAGGAACACUGCAAGUCUCUGGAUUGCUAGGACUCUUCAGUCUUAAGUUAAUGUCUGGCUGGGCGUGGUGGCUCAUGCCUGUAAUCCCAGCACUUUGGGAGGCUAAGGCGGGUGGAUCACCUGAGCUCAGGAGUUCAAAACCAGCCUGGCCAACAUGGUGAAACCCUGUCUCUACUAAAAAUACAAAAAUUAGCUGGGCAUGGUGGUGGGUACCUGUAAUCCCAGCUACUCGGGAGGCUGAGGCUGGAGAAUCACUUGAACCCGGGAGGCAGAGGUUGCGGUGAGCCGGGAUCACACCAUUGCACUCCAGCCUGGGCUACAGAGCGAGAUUUUUGUCUCAAAAAAAAAAAAAAAAAAAAAGUUAGUUAAUGUCAGCUCUAGGGCUUAUGUCAGGCCACGUCUUCCUGAAACUGGACUUGCAGUUUAAAAUGGGAGAUCAUCCCCGAAUCAGUGCAUAUUAUGCUGGUUGUGCCCUCAACUAGACCUCACCCAGGAGCAUGUAGGAUUGAAUCCUCACUAGGGUUGCACGCUUAGUAAAUCCCCAUGUCUCUUGCAAAGCUGAUAGUUUGGGAAGUCAGGUGACCCAUGGAAGCAUGCAUGAGUCUGGUGCGCUGCUUUUCUUUUGUUGUUGUUGUUUUGAGACGGAGUCUUGCUCCGUCGCCCAGGCUGGAGUGCAGUGGCACAAUCUCGGCUCACUGCAAGCUCCGCCUCCUGGGUUCACGCCAUUCUCCUGCCUCAGCUUCCUGAGUAGCUGGGACUACAGGCGCCCGCCACCACGCCUGGCUAAUUUUUUGUAUUUCUUAGUAGAGACAGGGUUUCACCGUGUUAGCCAGGAUGGUCUUGAUCUCCUGACCUUGUGAUCUGCCCACCUCGGCCUCCCAAAGUGCUGGGAUUACAGGUGUGGGCCACUGCGCCUGGCCCGGGCUCGUGCGCUGCUUUUCUAUCUGGUUCUUCUUGUUAUUCCACUUGCGGUUGGAUGGGGAGAUAUUCCACUUUCCCUUAGGAACUCUUGUCCCUGCACAGACCAUUUUAGCUAUUCUGAGCACAUCACAAGCAUACUCCUCUGGGGUGAGAAUAUAUAGCCUCUGGGCUUUUUCAGAAUUGCUCCUUCUGCUACUCUGGAAGCUAACGUGGAAUGAUUGCUUGAGUCCAGCAGUUCAAGGCCAGCAUGGGCAACAAAGCAAGAACCUGUUUCUUUAAAAAAAAAAAAAAAAAAAAAAAAAGGCGGGGGGAGCAGGCAUGGUGGCUUACACCUGUAAUCCCAGCACUUUGAGAGGCCGUGGCAGGAGGAUCACUUGAAGCCAGAGCUCAAAACCAGCCUGGGCAACUUAGUGAGCCCCCAUUUCUACAAAAAAUAAAAACAAUUAACUGGGCAUGGUGGUACACACCUGUAGCCUCAGCUACUCAGGAAGCUGAGAUGGGAGGAUCCCUUGAGCCCAGGAGUUUGAGACUGCAGUGAGCUAUGAUGGUGCCACUGGCGCCUGGGUAACAAAGCAAGACCCUGUCUCAAAAAAAAAAAAAAAAAAAAAAAGGAGCUGGGCAUAGUGGCAUGUGCCUGUAAAUGAAAGGCAUCAUUUCAUGCAAGCUCCUCUGAGCCCAGGAGUUCCAGCCUAGCCCAGGCAACAGGGCAAGACCACGUCUCAAAAAAAAAAAAAGUACUCUUUCCACCUAAAAUAUAUUCAGGUCAUUUGAGUUCAGUUUGAGUUCAGCUACGAGAAUUAUUUAGUUGAGUGAGUGUCAGAGCUGGGAUUUUCAAAUCUGCCCUUACUGGUAUGUUGCUUUACACACCCUCUUACGUAAAUCAAACUAGGAUUCCACCCUGGGAGGUUUGCAUAGAGGGCUGUUCUUGUAGAACUUGUGCUCAUGCUUUGAUUUGGGAUUUGGGGAGUUAGGGCAAGCCAGAAAGUUUUUCUGGUGGAUAAUAAUGUGGGUUGACUUUCUUAAGCAUUUUAAGCCAAGCACUUGAGUUUCUAACAACUAAAAAGCUAAGUCAGCCUGACACAGCUCUAGCGCGCCCUGGCUUGAUUCUGUUCAUCCCCAGGGGGAGACUUGCCUUUGUUCCAGUCCUGCUCUCCCAAGCCAGCUUACUGUAGUUUUCCAGCAAUUCUGAGAAGCAGUAUUUUUUACUGCUGAUUAGAACCUUAACAUGGAAAUGGAAAGUUUGUGUAGCAUGUAACAUUAUUAGAAGGGAAAACAUGACUAUAUGAUUAGAUACAUAUUGAUUUUAUGCAAUAUGUUUGCAUAAAAUCUCUUCAGUAGUAACUUGGUUAAAUUAUUCACAUUGACUCAGCAUAAUUUCUCCCUUGCUAAAUCUCAGACUAAAGCAAUCAAUUUGUUCCUGCAAGAAAGUCUGAUGGUAGGCUUUCCUUGUAACUGAGCCCCAUAGAAAGAGGAAGCAGCUGCAACAAAGUUGAAAAGGAUGCCUGUCACCAAGGUUCUUUUAAGGGAGCCAUUGUGUGAAGUUCUACUUGUGAAAUUUCUGCAAGUACUGUUUGUUCUCCAAAAUCCAGCUUUCCGUUGAAAGUCAAUGAAACAUCUCUAAAAUGCAGACAUACCCAGGUUCAUUGGGAACACAGUCACUGUGAGUAUACAUGAUUAUGUCCUGCUAACCCUAUUGGGAAAGAAUGCUGGGCUUGGCCCUAGUAAGUAGACUUGGGUUAAAGUUCACCUCCGCCACUAACUAGCUGGGAAGUUCAACUUCCCUGAGCUGAGUUUGUCACGUUAGAGAAUAUUAAUAAAUAUGAAAAUUGUGGAGCAGUCUUAAGUUUAAAAGGAACUUUCAUGGACAUUAGCUCAUUUUGCUGUGCCCACCCUGGGAAGGAAGCAGGACAGGCAGGCAGUGGCAUCCCUGUCGUCAAGCAGCCUGAGGACUGCUGUGAGCCUCUGGAGCAAGGCAGGAGUUUGAGGAGGCUCUCAGUCCUUUUGUCCUUUUUUUGAGACAGAGCAUCAUUCUGUUGCCCAGGCUGGAGUGCAAUGGCAUGAUCUUGGCUCACUGCAACCUCUGUCCCCCACCCUUACCACUGGGUUCAAGCAAUUCUUAGGCCUCAGCCUCCUAAGUAGCUGGGACUACAGGAUGCACCACCACGCCCAGCUAAUUUUGGGGGGGUUUUUUUUGAGACGAGUUUCACUCUUGUGGUCCAGGCUGGAGUGUAGUUGCAGUGAGCCAAGAUCCCACCACUGCACUCCAGCCUGGGGAGCAAGAGCAAAAUUCUGUCUCAAAAAAAAAAAAAAAAAAAAGCCAAGGGAGAUUUAAGAAGUAGGUGAUCCCUGAAUGCACCGCCAACCCACCCAGAUAGGCCUAAAUAUCUGAGCACAGCCAAGGUGUUUGAGCACAACCUCUUCCCAGAUCUUUGGCCACUAAGUUAUGGAGACACAAGGCAACCAUCAGGAAGUCAAGCUAAAACCUAAAGAAUAAAAAAAAUCUGGGUGCAGUAGCUCAACCUGUAAUCCUAGCACUUUGGGACGCCAAGGUGGGAGGAUUAUUUAAGUCCAGGAGUUUGAGACCAGCCUGGGCAACAGAGAGAGAUCUCGUCUUGUCUCUUAAAAAAAAAAAAAAAAAAAAAAAAGGCCAGACACGGUGGUGUGCACCUGUAGUCCCAACAACUUGGGAGGCUGAGAUGGGAGGAUUGCUUGAGCCCAGGAGUUCAAGACUGCAGUGAGCCACUGCACUUCAGGCUGGACAACAGAGCGAGUCCCUGUGUCAAAAAAAAAAAGGAAAAAGAAAAGAAACAAAAAUCUGGGCUGGGUGUGGUGGCUCACACCUGUAAUCCUAGCACUUUGGGAGGCCAAGGUGGGCAGAUCACUUGAGAUCAGGAGUUUGAGACCAGCCAUGGCCAACAUGGUGAAACUCCAUCUCUAUUAAAAAUACAAAAAUUAGCCAGGCAUGGUGGCGUGAACCUGUAGUCCCACUCAUUUUGGGGGCUGAGGUGGGAUUGCUUGAGCCCAGGAGGUCAAGGUUGCCGUGAACUGUGAUUGUGCCACUGCACCCCAGCCUGGGCAACAGAGCAACACCCUGUCUCUGAAAAAAAAAAAAAAAAAAAAAAAAUGCUUAACUGCUCAUCAGAAACAGUAAAGGCUAAAGCCACUGCAAUGGAUAUUCAAAGUGCUGAAAGGAAAAAACAAUCACCCAAUAAUUUUAUAUACAGCAAAACUAGCCUUCAAAAGUGAAGGUGAGGCCGGGUGCGGUGGCUCACACCUGUACUCCCAGCACUGUGGGAGUCUGAAGCAGGAUUGCUUGCGCCCAGGAGGACCAGACCAGCCUCUACAGAAAAAUUUUAAAAAUUAGCCAGACAUGGUGGCACCCACCUGCGGUCCUAGCUACUUGGGAGGCUGAAGUGGGAGAACUGCUUGAGCCCAGGAGGUUGGGGGUACAGUAAGCUAUGUUCAAACCACAGCACUCCAGACUGGGUGACAGACCAAGACCCUGUCCCAAGAAAAAGGUGAAAUAAAGACAUUCUGAGAUUUUUAAAAAGGGAGAAUAAGAGAAUUAUUGCUAGCAGACCUCUCCUAAAAGAGGUACUAAAGGGGCCGGGUGUGGUGGCUCACUCCUGUAAUCUCAGCACUUUCUGAGGCCAAGGCAGGCAGAUCACCUGAGGUCGGAAGUUCGAGACCAGCCUGACCAACAUGGAGAAACCCCAUCUCUACUAAAAAUACAAAAUUAGCCAGGCAUGAUGGCACAUGCCUGUAAUCCCAGCUACUUGGGAGGCUGUGGCAGAAGAAUCGCUUGAACCUGGGAGGCAGAGGUUGUGGUGAGCCGAGAUUGAGCCACUGCACUCCAGCAUGGUUGACAAGAGCAAAAUUCUGUCUCCAAAAAAAAAAAAAAAAGAAGUACUAAAGGAAGUCCUUCAGCCUAAAAGAAAAGGACACUAGAACAAUAUCUUGAAUUCACCAGAAGGCAUGGAGCACUAGAAUGAUGAAGGCAGCUAAAUGUAAAACACUAUAUAUUUCUCUUUUUUUUUUUUUUUUUUUGAGACAGUGUCUUGGUCUGUUGCUCAGACUGGAGUGCAGUGGCACAAUCCCGGCUCACUGAAGCCUCCGCCUCCCGGGUUCAAGCAAUUCUCCUUCCUCAGCCUCCUGAGUAGCUGGGACUACAGGUGCACGCCACCACACCCAGCUAAUUUUUUGUAUUUUUAGUAGAGUCGGGGUUUCACCAAGUUAGCCGGGAUGGUCUCGAUCUCCUGACCUCGUGAUCUGCCCACCUCGGCCUCCCUAUAUUUCUCUUUUAUACUUUAUAUUUUUCUCUCUUUUUUAAUUUUUUAAAAAACAAGGUUGUUUAAACCAGUUAUAACACAUUGCUGGGUUUAUAACAUAUAAAGAUAUAUAUAUAACACAAAGGAAGAGCAAGGGAAGGGUAGUAAAGUUACUGUAUUUUACCAGAAUUUUCAGUAUUGAGCUGAAAUAUACUGUAAUAAGUUAAAGCUACAUACUGCAAUCCCUAGACAACCACACAGAAAGUAACUCAAACAUAUAACUAAAAGGAAAAAACCCUUCAACUUUGGGAUCAGGAUAAUACAUACAUACACAUACACAAAUGUAACACAGAAAAAGGAGUUAAAGAAGCCAGGCGUGGUGGCUCACGCCAGUAAUUCCAGCACUUGGGGAGGCCGAGGCAGGCAGAUCACCUGAGGUCAGGAGCUCAAGACCAGCCUGGCCAACAUGGUGAAACCCUGUCUCUACUAAAAAUGCAAAAAUUAGCCAGUCAUGGUGGCAUGCCUGUAAUCCCAGCUACUUGGCAGGCUUAAAACAGGAGAAUUGCUUUAACCCGUGAGGUGGAGGUUGCAGUGAACUGAGAUGGUGCCACUGCACUCCAGCCUGGGCGACAGAGUGAGACUCCAUCUCAAAAAAGAAUUAAAGAGAAACAAAGGGACAACAAAGAUGAGAAAUAUAGAAAACAAGUAUUAAAAUGUCAUCCAUAUAUUCAACCAUAUCAACAAUUACAUUAAACAUGAAUGGACUAAAUAUUCCAAAGGGCACAGACUGUAAAACUGUAUAAAAAAGCAAGAUUCAACUAUAUGCUAUCUACAAGAGAUCCUUUAGAUUCAAAGACACAAAUAAUAGAGUGAAAGUGAAAAGAUAUACCAUGCAAUCAAGAAUCACAAGAGAGCAGGAAUAGCUAUAUGAACAACAGUCAACAUGGCCUUUUUCCCCAAGUUCUUCCUGCAUACAUUUAACUCAGCAUAGACUUUAAUAGUAGUAUUAAUAUUAGAAACAUAAAGGAACAUUUUAUGAUGAUAAUGGCUAUAUCAAUACAUUAUGAAGAUUUAGCCAUUAUAAAUAUAUACACUGCUAACAUUAGUCUCAAAAACAGAAUUGAAAGGAAAAAUAUACAAUUGAAAAUCCAUGAUAGGCCCAGUACAGUGGCUCAACGCCUGUAAUCCCCGCACUUUGGGAGGCCGAGGCAGGCAGAUCACUUGAGGUGAGGAGUUCGAGACCAGCCUAGCCAACAUAAUGAAAUGCUGUCUCUACUAAAAAAAAAAAAAAAAAAAAAAAAAUUAGCUGGAUGUGGUGGCACUUGCCUGUAAUCCCAGCUACUCAGGAGCCUUAGGCAGGAGAAUCGCUUAAACCUGGGAGGUGGAGCCUGUAGUGAGCCGAGAUCAUGCCAGUGUGAUAUUGAGUCUUGCAAAUCCGUUAACAUGUUACAAUGUCUUAUUUAGAUCUGUAAUUUGCUUCAGCAAUGUUUUGUGGUUUUGAGUGUAUAGGCUUUGGACUUAUUUUAUUAAAUUCAAUAUCUUAUUCCAAAUAUUUUAUUCUUUUGAUGUUAUUGUAAAUGACACUUUUUUUUUUUUGAGACUGAGUCUCACCCUAUUGCCCAGGCUGGAGUGCAGUGGCACCUCCCAGGUUCAAGCAAUUCUCCUGCCUCAGCCUCCUGAGUAGCUGGGAUUUUUAGUAGAGAUGGGGUUUUGCCAGUUUGGCCAGACUGGUCUUGAACUCCUAGGCUCAAGUGAUCUGCCUGCCUUGGCCUCCUAAAAUGCUGGGAUUACAGCCAUGGGCCACUGUGCCCGGCCAUAAUUUUUGAAUUUUUUUUUUUUGGUAGAGAUGGGUUUCCGCCAUGUUGCCCAGGCUGUUCUCCAACCCUGGGCUCAAGUGAUACUCCUGCCUCGGCCUUCCAAAGUGCUGGGACUAUAAGUGCAGGUGUGGACCACCGUGCUUGGCCUUUUUUUUUUUUCUUUUUUUUUUUUGAGACAGGGUUUUGGCUCUGUCACUCAGGCUGGAGUGCAGUGGUACCAUCAUGACUCAUUGCAGCCUCAAUGUCCCAGCCUCAAGCAGUCUUUCCACCUAACCCUCUCGAGUAGCUGGGACUACAGGCAUGCACCACCACACCUGGCUAGUCUUAUUUUUAAUUUUUGUUUUUUUAAGUAGAGAUGGGGGUCUCACUAUGUUGCUCAGGCUGGUCUCCAACUCCUGGGCUCAAGUGAUUCUCCCACCUCAGCCUCCCAAAAUGCUGGGAUUACAGGCGUGAACCGCCAUGCCCAGCAGAAAAAUUGUCAUUGGAAUAAAGUCUGGGGUUUUGUUAAAAGUUUUAUAUCGGCCGGGUGUGGUGGCCCAUGCCUGUAAUCCUAGCACUUUGAGAAGCUGAGGGGGGAGAUUCCCUGAGCUCAGGGAUUCAAGACCAGCCUGGACAAUGCAGUGAAACCCUGUCUCUACUAAAAUACAAAAAAUUAGCUGGGCGUGGUGGCGUGCACCUGUAGUCCUGGCUACUUGGGAGGCUGAGGCAGGACAAUUUCUUGAACCCAGGAGGCAGAGGUUGCAGUGAGCCGAGAUCACGCCACUGCACUCCAGCCUGGGCGACAGGGCGAGACCUGGAGUGCAGGCACAAUUAUGGCUCCCUGCAGCCUUGACCUCCCCAGGUUCAGGUGAUCCUCCCACCUCAGUUUUUCUAUUUUUAGUAGAGCCCUCCACCUCCCGGGUUCAAGCAAUUCUCCUGCCUCAGCCUCCUGAGUAGCUGGGAUUACAGGCAUGUGCCACCACGACGGGUUAAUUUUUGUAUUUUUAGUAGACACAGGGUUAUACCAUGUUGCCCAGGCUGGACUUCAACUCCUGGGCUCAAGUGAUCCACCUGUCUUGGCCCCACAAAGUGCUAGGAUUACAGGUGUGAGCCACCACACCUGGCCAGCAGUUUCUUAAAAAGUUACACUUACCUUAAAACCCAGCAAUCCACUCCUAAGUAUAUGUCUAAAAGAAAUGAAAACAACAGGCUGGGUGUGGUGGCUCACACCUGUAAUGCCAGCACUUUGGGAGGCUAAGGUGGUAGCUCUCCAGACCACCCAGGGCAACAUGGUAAAACCCCGUCUCCACUAAAAAUACAAAAAAAUUAACCGGGUGUGGUGGGGCACACCUCUAGUCCCAGCUACUUGGGAGGCUGAGGCAGGAGAAUCACUUGAGCCCCAGAGGCAAAGGUUUCAGUAAGCCGAGAUCGUGCCACUGCACUCUAGCUUGGGCUACAGAGUGAGACUCCAUCUCACACACACACACACAAAAGAAAUGAAAACAACAAUUUGUACAUGAGUUCAAAACAGAAUUAUUUAUUUCCCAAACUAGAAACAAUCCAAAUGUCUAUCAACAGAUAAAUGGAUAAGCAAAUGAUGACACAAUUGCAUUAAUGGAAUACCACUCAGCAAUGAAAAGGAACAAACCACUCAUACCUACAACACAGAUGAGCCUCAGAAACGUGAUGCUAAGUGAAAGAAGCCAGACCAAAAAAAUUAUAUGCUAUUAUUCCAUUUCUAUGAAAUUUCUGGAAAAGGCAAAAACCAUGCAAAGUAGAUCAGAGGUUGGCUGGGGGUGAGAGCAGAGACUGACUACAAAUAGGCCCAAGGGAACGUUUUGGGGUGAUGGAAGUUUUCUAUAAGUGGAUUAUGGUGAUGGCUACACAACAGUAUAAAUUAAAGGUCAUCCAAAUGUGUACUUACAAUGUUUGAAUUGUAUGACAUGUAAAUUAUCUCAUUAAAUCUGUAUUUUAAAAAAAGAACUGUGCUGUGAAGUUUGACAUAUUUUAAAGUAGGAUGUCUUAGCCGGGCAUGGUGUUGCAUGCCUGUAGUCCUAGCUACUCAGGAAGUUGAGGCUAGAAGAUUGCUCGACCUCAGGAGUUCAAGGCUGCAGUAAGCUAUGGUCA